GGUUUAGACUUCUUUUGCAGGUCCCGGCGGUGACCGCGACCCCCACAACUCCAGCUUCUCUGGCGCAGGCAGAUUUUUGCACCAACAGGAUUGGCGCUAGAGGAAGGGGUGUGUCUUCGCAGUACCCUUGUUCUUGAAGGAGUGCUCAAUGGGACCACACUCGGGCAUCUUUUCUGGCAUCCUCUCCUCCUCCCUCCAUUUGGUCCUUGCUCGAUGCCUCCCCGUAAGGCAUCCACGCGACGAUCCACAGCCUCCAC
rnacentral:lncRNA from 1 species